GAUGAACGCUGGCGGCGUGCUUAACACAUGCAAGUCGAACGAAGCACUUUAUUUGAUUUCCUUCGGGACUGAUUAUUUUGUGACUGAGUGGCGGACGGGUGAGUAACGCGUGGGUAACCUGCCUUGUACAGGGGGAUAACAGUUGGAAACGGCUGCUAAUACCGCAUAAGCGCACGGCAUCGCAUGAUGCAGUGUGAAAAACUCCGGUGGUAUAAGAUGGACCCGCGUUGGAUUAGCUAGUUGGUGAGGUAACGGCCCACCAAGGCGACGAUCCAUAGCCGACCUGAGAGGGUGACCGGCCACAGUGGGACUGAGACACGGCCCAAACUCCUACGGGAGGCAGCAGUGGGGAAUAUUGCACAAUGGGCGAAAGCCUGAUGCAGCGACGCCGCGUGAGCGAAGAAGUAUUUCGGUAUGUAAAGCUCUAUCAGCAGGGAAGAUAAUGACGGUACCUGACGAAGAAGCACCGGCUAAAUACGUG
rnacentral:rRNA from 1 species